AUGUAUGGCUGGCUGUCCUCAUAGUGAGGUCGAGUGGACCUUUAAAAGCUUGCUUUUGAAAGGUCAGCGGCGGACGGGUGAGUAACACGUGGGCAACCUGCCUGUAAGACUGGGAUAACUUCGGGAAACCGGAGCUAAUACCGGAUAAUAUAAGGAACCUCCUGGUUCUUUAUUGAAAGAUGGUUUCGGCUAUCACUUACAGAUGGGCCCGCGGCGCAUUAGCUAGUUGGUGAGGUAACGGCUCACCAAGGCGACGAUGCGUAGCCGACCUGAGAGGGUGAUCGGCCACACUGGGACUGAGACACGGCCCAGACUCCUACGGGAGGCAGCAGUAGGGAAUCUUCCACAAUGGACGAAAGUCUGAUGGAGCAACGCCGCGUGAGCGAUGAAGGCCUUCGGGUCGUAAAGCUCUGUUGUUAGGGAAGAACAAGUGCGAGAGUAACUGCUCGCACCUUGACGGUACCUAACCAGAAAGCCACGGCUAACUACGUGCCAGCAGCCGCGGUAAUACGUAGGUGGCAAGCGUUGUCCGGAAUUAUUGGGCGUAAAGCGCGCGCAGGUGGUUCUUUAAGUCUGAUGUGAAAGCCCACGGCUCAACCGUGGAGGGUCAUUGGAAACUGGGGGACUUGAGUGCAGAAGAGGAAAGUGGAAUUCCAAGUGUAGCGGUGAAAUGCGUAGAGAUUUGGAGGAACACCAGUGGCGAAGGCGACUUUCUGGUCUGUAACUGACACUGAGGCGCGAAAGCGUGGGGAGCAAACAGGAUUAGAUACCCUGGUAGUCCACGCCGUAAACGAUGAGUG
rnacentral:rRNA from 2 species